rnacentral:rRNA from 1 species
AAAAUGACUCUCGGCAACGGAUAUCUCGGCUCUUGCAUCGAUGAAGAACGUAGCGAAAUGCGAUACUUGGUGUGAAUUGCAGAAUCCCGUGAACCAUCGAGUCUUUGAACGCAAGUUGCGCCCGAAGCCAUUAGGCCGAGGGCACGCCUGCYUGGGUGUCACA